rnacentral:rRNA from 1 species
GAUCAUGGCUCAGAGUGAACGCUGGCGGUAGGCCUAACACAUGCAAGUCGAACGGCAGCACAGGAGAGCUUGCUCUCUGGGUGGCGAGUGGCGGACGGGUGAGGAAUACAUCGGAAUCUACUUUUUCGUGGGGGGAUUAACGUAGGGAAACUUACGCUAAUACCGCAUACGACCUACGGGUGAAAGCAGGGGGAUCUUCGGACCUUGCGCGAUUGAAUGAGCCGAUGUCGGAUUAGCUAGUUGGG